CCCNGCACAAGCGGUGGAGCAUGUGGUUUAAUUCGAUGCAACGCGAAGAACCUUACCUACUCUUGACAUCCAGAGAAUUUAGCAGAGAUGCUUUAGUGCCUUCGGGAACUCUGAGACAGGUGCUGCAUGGCUGUCGUCAGCUCGUGUUGUGAAAUGUUGGGUUAAGUCCCGCAACGAGCGCAACCCUUAUCCUUUGUUGCCAGCGAUUCGGUCGGGAACUCAAAGGAGACUGCCGGUGAUAAACCGGAGGAAGGUGGGGACGACGUCAAGUCAUCAUGGCCCUUACGAGUAGGGCUACACACGUGCUACAAUGGCGUAUACAAAGAGAAGCGACCUCGCGAGAGCAAGCGGAACUCAUAAAGUGCGUCGUAGUCCGGAUUGGAGUCUGCAACUCGACUCCAUGAAGUCGGAAUCGCUAGUAAUCGUAGAUCAGAAUGCUACGGUGAAUACGUUCCCGGGCCUUGUACACACCGCCCGUCACACCAUGGGAGUGGGUUGCAAAAGAAGUAGGUAGCUUAACCUUCGGGAGGGCGCUUACCACUUUGUGAUUCAUGACUGGGGUG
rnacentral:rRNA from 1 species